rnacentral:rRNA from 1 species
AUGAGCUUUUGGGGAGCAACAGUAAUUACAAGCUUAGCUAGCGCCAUACCAGUAGUAGGAGAUACCAUAGUGACUUGGCUUUGGGGUGGUUUAUCCGUGGACAAUGCCACCUUAAAUCGUUUUUUAGUCUCCAUCAUUUACUCGCCCUUGUUCUUCCUUUUGAUUUAAACAUUCUCCCGCCGGGAGCUGCAGAAUUCUGGCAGGGGCAGCCCCCUUUUCCAGAUCAUGAAAAUGUGGAGAGUGAUGAUUCAUCGGAUCUCGACACGGAUUAUGAUGAGCUAA